rnacentral:rRNA from 1 species
ACGGAAUAGAUACCCUGGUAGUCCACGCCGUAAACAAUGGACGCUAGGUGUUCGGUACAACUACUUAAUCCUUCGGGAUUGAAAUGGAAAGUAUUGAGUACUGCAGCUAACGCGUUAAGCGUCCCGCCUGGGAAGUACGGCCGCAAGGCUAAAACUCAAAUGAAUUGGCGGGGACCCGCACAAAGCGGAGGAGCGCGUGGUUUAAUUCGACGGCAAUCGAAGAACCUUACCAGGGUUUGAAAUGUAUCUGCAUGCCCCAUGAAAGUGGGGAGGCUUUCGAAGGUGAUACACAGGUGCUGCAUGGCCGUCGUCAGCUCGUGUCGUGAGAUGUAGGGUUAAGUCCCGAAACGAGCGCAACCCCUAUCCCAUGUUACAAGUGUCUUGGGAAACCGCCUCGGUAAAACGAGGAGGAAGGUGGGGAUGACGUCUGGUCCGCAUAGCCCUUAUGUCCUGGGCUACACACACGCUACAAUGGCCAAUACAGUAGGAAGCCAAAUCGUAAGAUGGAGCUGAUCCUCAAAGUUGGUCUCAGUUCGGAUUGAGGUCUGAAACUC